rnacentral:rRNA from 1 species
UGGGGAAUAUUGCACAAUGGGCGCAAGCCUGAUGCAGCAACGCCGCGUGAACGAUGAAGGUCUUCGGAUCGUAAAGUUCUGUUGCAGGGGAAGAUAAUGACGGUACCCUGUGAGGAAGCCCCUGCUAACUACGUGCCAGCAGCCGCGGUAAUACGUAGGGGGCUAGCGUUAUCCGGAUUUACUGGGCGUAAAGGGUGCGUAGGUGGUCUUUCAAGUCGGUGGUUAAAGGCUACGGCUCAACCGUAGUUAGCCUCCGAAACUGGAAGACUUGAGUGAAGGAGAGGAAAGUGGAAUUCCAAGUGUAGCGGUGAAAAGCGGAGAUAUUGGGAGGAAAACCAGUAGCGAAGGCGGCGUUCUGGACGAACACUGACGCUGAGGCGCGAAAGAAAGGGGAGCGAACGGG